rnacentral:rRNA from 1 species
GGUUAAGUGACUAAGCGUACACGGUGGAUGCCUUGGCAGUCAGAGGCGAUGAAGGACGUAGUAACUUGCGAUAAGCGUAGAUGAGGCAGUAACAGCCACUUGAGUCUACGAUUUCCGAAUGGGGAAACCCACUGGCAUAAGCCAGUAUCAUUGAGUGAAUACAUAGCUCAAUGAAGCGAACCGGGAGAACUGAAACAUCUAAGUACCCCGAGGAAAAGAAAUCAACCGAGAUUCCGAAAGUAGCGGCGAGCGAAAUUGGAUUAGCCCUUAAGCUUUACAUGUGUUAGACGAACGGUCUGGAAAGUCCGACGAUACAGGGUGAUAGUCCCGUAGUUGUAGAUGCAUGUUCAGUGAAAUCGAGUAGGGCGGGACACGUGUUAUCCUGUCUGAAUAUGGGGGGACCAUCCUCCAAGGCUAAAUACUCCUGACUGACCGAUAGUGAACCAGUACCGUGAGGGAAAGGCGAAAAGAACCCCUGUGAGGGGAGUGAAAUAGAACCUGAAACCGUGUACGUACAAGCAGUAGGAGCACCUUCGUGGUGUGACUGCGUACCUUUUGUAUAAUGGGUCAGCGACUUAUAUUCAGUGGCAAGGUUAACCAUCUAGGGGAGCCGUAGGGAAACCGAGUCUUAACUGGGCGCCAUAGUCUCUGGAUAUAGACCCGAAACCGAGUGAUCUAGCCAUGGGCAGGUUGAAGGUUGAGUAACAUCAACUGGAGGACCGAACCGACUAAUGUUGAAAAAUUAGCGGAUGACUUGUGGCUAGGGGUGAAAGGCCAAUCAAACUCGGAGAUAGCUGGUUCUCCCCGAAAGCUAUUUAGGUAGCGCCUCGGACGAAUACUACUGGGGGUAGAGCACUGUUAAGGCUAGGGGGUCAUCCCGACUUACCAACCCUUUGCAAACUCCGAAUACCAGUAAGUACUAUCCGGGAGACACACGGCGGGUGCUAACGUCCGUCGUGGAGAGGGAAACAACCCAGACCGCCAGCUAAGGUCCCAAAUUACAGCUAAGUGGGAAACGAUGUGGGAAGGCUUAGACAGCUAGGAUGUUGGCUUAGAAGCAGCCAUCAUUUAAAGAAAGCGUAAUAGCUCACUAGUCGAGUCGGCCUGCGCGGAAGAUGUAACGGGGCUAAGUUGUAAACCGAAGCUGCGGCAAUAUCUUUUAGAUAUUGGGUAGGGGAGCGUUCUGUAAGCCGUUGAAGGUGUGUUGUAAAGCAUGCUGGAGGUAUCAGAAGUGCGAAUGCUGACAUGAGUAACGACAAGGGGGGUGAAAAACCUCCCCGCCGGAAGACCAAGGGUUCCUGUCCAACGUUAAUCGGGGCAGGGUAAGUCGACCCCUAAGGCGAGGCCGAAAGGCGUAGUCGAUGGGAAACGGGUUAAUAUUCCCGUACUUCUUACAAUUGCGAUGGGGGGACGGAGAAGGCUAGGUGGGCCUGGCGACGGUUGUCCAGGUUCAAGUGCGUAGGCUGAGUGUUUAGGUAAAUCCGGA